rnacentral:rRNA from 1 species
ACACAUGCAAGUCGAACGAGAGAGAAGGAGCUUGCUUCUUCGAUCGAGUGGCGAACGGGUGAGUAACGCGUGAGGAACCUGCCUCAAAGAGGGGGACAACAGUUGGAAACGACUGCUAAUACCGCAUAAGCCCACGGGUCGGCAUCGAUCUGAGGGAAAAGGAGCAAUCCGCUUUGAGAUGGCCUCGCGUCCGAUUAGCUAGUUGGUGAGGUAACGGCCCACCAAGGCGACGAUCGGUAGCCGGACUGAGAGGUUGAACGGCCACAUUGGGACUGAGACACGGCCCAGACUCCUACGGGAGGCAGCAGUGGGGAAUAUUGCACAAUGGGGGAAACCCUGAUGCAGCGACGCCGCGUGGAGGAAGAAGGUCUUCGGAUUGUAAACUCCUGUUGUUGAGGAAGAUAAUGACGGUACUCAACAAGGAAGUGACGGCUAACUACGUGCCAGCAGCCGCGGUAAAACGUAGGUCACAAGCGUUGUCCGGAAUUACUGGGUGUAAAGGGAGCGCAGGCGGGAAGACAAGUUGGAAGUGAAAUCUAUGGGCUCAACCCAUAAACUGCUUUCAAAACUGUUUUUCUUGAGUAGUGCAGAGGUAGGCGGAAUUCCCGGUGUAGCGGUGGAAUGCGUAGAUAUCGGGGGGAACACCAGUGGCGAAGGCGGCCUACUGGGCACCAACUGACGCUGAGGCUCGAAAGUGUGGGUAGCAAACAGGAUUAGAUACCCUGGUAGUCCACACCGUAAACGAUGAUUACUAGGUGUUGGAGGAUUGACCCCUUCAGUGCCGCAGUUAACACAAUAAGUAAUCCACCUGGGGAGUACGACCGCAAGGUUGAAACUC